AGUACUUUUAAUAAAAUAUCGUAACAGAUGGCGUUACCAAAAGUUUAAAUGUUGCCGGGAAAGUUGAGCAACUCGUCUGAUUAACGUUUUCAUAUAUCAUGAAUAUUCAAUUUUACAGCUUAAAAAUAGUAAAUGAUCCACCUUUUCACACAUAGUUUCGUUAUCUGAAAGCUUAGAUAUAUAACAAUUAUGUUCUGGAAAUAAGAAAUUCUAUUUGUAUUUAUUUAUUUUUGAUACUACUCGCUUUGUGACUACUAAUUUAAGUCGUUAAUCGAACUUACUAUGAUUUAGGUCUUCUAGAGGAACUUUCGACACGUUUGGAAGAGGCAAUCCAUCGUGCUGGUCCCUAAAACGAUCAGCUGAUUCAUAUUAUUCGGCCGUCAUGCUAUUUUACUUACCACGAAUUAUAUUAAAAUAUUUAUAUAAAAUCUUACAUAAGUUAAUUUAGAAAAAUGAAGAAGAUAAACAUGGAAAUUGUCAACUACCGAAAUGUUUUUUGCAAACAUACAAACGGAAAAAAUAACUAUUCAUGUGACAAAAUUAGAGAAAAUCAAGAGCCAGAUUGAUCAACUGGGCCUAGGCGUGACUGAUUACAUGUUAACUAUGAAGCUCUAUAUUGUUUCAGUAGUGACAUCAAAACAUCUUGUGUCUGAAUGUAAAUUAUUUUCAUAAUGGGUAUCACGUUGAUAAAAUUUAUAGAAUUUCUCUAUAAAUUUUGAGUUAUUUCACGUUAAAAACUAUUAGCUUUGAAGGUAAAUACUUUUCUUUUGAUAUGAGGAUGAGACGUAAACAAGAGGAAGCCACACA